rnacentral:ncRNA from 1 species
GACGAGGUCCACGGGAGCCCGCACACGUCACCGACCACCGCAUCCGGCUGAGAGGGCGUGAGACGCCGACCGGUCACCUGAUGCGGAUCAUGCCGCCGGAGGAAGGAUGAGGAUGUCCGAG